GACGGCGUUGAGCGGCGUCCGCAGCUCGUGGCUCAGGCCCACGACGUAGCGGCUCUUGGCGAGGUUCGCGGCCUCCGCCGCCUCC
rnacentral:tRNA from 1 species